UAAUAUUUUUAAAUAAAUUAAGAACACUACUAUGUGUGCAUGUUUUUCAAAAUUGAAUGUGGUACUGCCAACACCCGCAAUCACGAGACUGGUGGUCCAUACUUUAUGUAUGGAAUGGGAGUUUCUGAUUCAUACCAACUUGUAUCUAUGGUGUUAUGUUUACGACAGAAUUAUUUCCAAUGGAUUAGUAGGGUUAUUUUUACCCCGGCUAAAAGUCGAUUAUAAAAUGUGGCAACUAAGUAAAUUUCGAACACCAAUUUUACUGGGAACUAUUUUAAUUUGUUGUUAUGCUGGGUUCAAGAACAGACAAAUUUUCUUACAAGAUAUUGACAAAAAACGUGAAGAAUUGUUGAAAGAAGAUACAGAAACACGAAAAAUCAUUGAAAAAAAAGUGAAAGAAAUGAAGGAAAGAUGAAUUGGUUUUGCCUAUCAGGUGUUCAGAGAGGGUUAUAUUGUUGUAAUUAGAAAAUAAAAUCUUUUAAAUCGAAA